GACGAACGCUGGCGGCGUGCUUAACACAUGCAAGUCGAACGGAAAGGCCCUGCUUUUGUGGGGUGCUCGAGUGGCGAACGGGUGAGUAACACGUGAGUAACCUGCCCUUGACUUUGGGAUAACUUCAGGAAACUGGGGCUAAUACCGGAUAGGAGCUCCUGCUGCAUGGUGGGGGUUGGAAAGUUUCGGCGGUUGGGGAUGGACUCGCGGCUUAUCAGCUUGUUGGUGGGGUAGUGGCUUACCAAGGCUUUGACGGGUAGCCGGCCUGAGAGGGUGACCGGCCACAUUGGGACUGAGAUACGACCCAGACUCCUACGGGAGGCAGCGGUGGAGAAUAUUACACAAUGGGCUGAAGCCUGAUGCGACAACGCCGCGUGCGGGAUGACUGCCUUCGGGUUGUAAACCGCUUUCGCCUGUGACGAAGCGUGAGUGACGGUAAUGGGUAAAGAAGCACCGGCUAACUACGUG
rnacentral:rRNA from 1 species